AUUGAACGCUGGCGGCAUGCUUUACACAUGCAAGUCGAACGGUAACAGGCCGCAAGGUGCUGACGAGUGGCGAACGGGGGAGGAAAGCAACGGAACGUGCCCAGUCGUGGGGGGUAACUAACCGAAAGAGGAGCUAAUACCGCAUACGAUCUAAGGAUGAAAGCGGGGGACCGUAAGGCCCCGCGCGAUUGGAGCGGCCGAUGUCAGAUUAGGUAGUUGGUGGGGUAAAGGCUCACCAAGCCAACGAUCUGUAGCUGGUCUGAGAGGACGACCAGCCACACUGGGACUGAGACACGGCCCAGACUCCUACGGGAGGCAGCAGUGGGGAAUUUUGGACAAUGGGCGCAAGCCUGAUCCAGCAAUGCCGCGUGCAGGAAGAAGGCCUUCGGGUUGUAAACUGCUUUUGUACGGAACGAAACGGCUCUGGUUAAUACCCGGGGCUAAUGACGGUACCGUAAGAAUAAGCACCGGCUAACUACGUG
rnacentral:rRNA from 1 species